UACGUAGGGUGCGAGCGUUGUCCGGAAUUAUUGGGCGUAAAGGGCUCGUAGGCGGUUUGUCGCGUCGGGAGUGAAAACCUUGGGCUUAACUCAGGGCUUGCUUUCGAUACGGGCAGACUAGAGGUAUGCAGGGGAGAACGGAAUUCCUGGUGUAGCGGUGAAAUGCGCAGAUAUCAGGAGGAACACCGGUGGCGAAGGCGGUUCUCUGGGCAUGAUCUGACGCUGAGGAGCGAAAGUGUGGGGAGCGAAUAGG
rnacentral:rRNA from 1 species